ACAGCCCACAAAUUCCCUACAGAAAUGGAAACACAAAAUCAUUAAAUGUGCCAAAGCAGCAUGACUAAAGCAUGGGCAAGACAGUCUGACUCUGAGAUAAAGCCUUCUGUCAGGCUGGGUGUUUCCACAGCCACCACCAGCAGUGCCUCCUUGUCCUGCCACUUCCCUGGUCUUCCGCACCAGAUUCAUCCAGGGCAUCCGUCUGAAUGGCAGUGGAUGGAAGACCAACCAGUGAGACCUAUGGGUCAACCCUGGUUUGAAUCUUGUAUUCUGGACAGUGAGUUCAGGGCUGUAAACCAGCCGCAGUCUUAGAGAUUAGGUUGGGUGACUGAGCACAUGCUGCAAUAUCACAACAAGUGGGAAUUACAGAUUUGGCAGGAAUAAAGAGAAAAGCCUUCAUGACCUCCUCCUGUGUUUACAAGACUCCUCCGAGUCUCCUACCUUCAGCGUUCAUGGAAAUCUCCCAUUCCUCUGGCUGGAUGAGAAUUUGCUAAAUUCCUCUGCCUCAGUGCAAGAUAAUUUUGUUUACAACUAUAGCUCACUUUUAUGUUUUCCAGUCAAAUCUCAUGAGACCAGCAGGAUGAACAGGUAACAGAGGUCAAAGAGAAAGAAUGAAUGCCCACCUAUGGAUGGAGGCAGUUUAGAGAAAUAUGCUUGUCCAAAGUCACAAUUAACUGCACUGACACAGAGAAGCAGAUAUUGCACUUUUGCUCAACUAAAUACCACUUUGAUGACUAAGAACGGGCCCUCUGGGAUCAGACAAAGGUCAGUAACUCUUACCUCAGUAAAACGGCAUUAUUUUUAGCUUUCUCCUCUACUCCACCAGGGGGAAUAUCAGUGAAGUUAGUCAGAUCAUUCCCACUACUGUAAUAGUCACCAUUUCCUAUAAGUAAGAAAAUCAACAGAUCCCUCAUUCAAUCAUCCUAUAAUUCUUGAGUAUCUACUGCAUGCCAAACUCUAUGGUUAGGCAAGGGAAAUACAUUGGAGAACGAGCAAUGGUUCCUGCCCUAACUUACAAACUAGUGAGUACGCUGGACACUGAUCUAUAAAAACACACCGAUAAAUGUAGCUAAUGCUACUGUUGAAAUAGAGGAGUGGUGCGUCAUGAAAUGAGGGUAUGUACCAGGAGGGUUGGUCUAAUCAGGGAGUUCAGGAAAGAACUUUCCUAAGGAAGCGACAACUGAAUUGAGAUCUGAAGGAGAGGCCAGGUGGGCUAGAAAAAGAGGGCUGGGAAGAACAGUUUACACAAAGGAACAGCCUGUGCAAAGGCUCUUUGGAGAGGUUAUCCCCACUGUAGAUGAAGUAAGAGCCACUGUAGCUGACUCAGGGAAAGCCAGGGGGAAGUCGGUGCAGGAUGAGGACUGGCAGAAUAGACCUGACAGUGCUUUGUAGAUCCCAUGAGGAAGUUUUUUCUUUAUUCUAAGAGCCACUGAAAGUAUGUUUCUGAGUGUGUGUGUUUAAUUAAAGUACAAUUUAUAUACAAUAAAACAACCAGUUUUUAAAUGUUCAUUUAGAUGAGUUUUAAUAAUUUUAAAUACCCACAAGAUCACCAUCCAAAACAAGAUACAGAACAUCUCCAUCACCCCAAAAGUUUCCCGUAGGCUCCUUCCUAGCUAUCCCACCCCACCUGCUCCAAGGCAAUCACUUUCUGACUUCAAUUUCCACAGAGAAGAACUUUUGUCUACUGUAGAACUUUCUACAAAUGGACUCAUACAGUAUGUACACUCCUGUCUUUAUUUUGCUGAACUGUGUUUUAAAGAUGCAUCCACAUUCUUGUGUAUAUCAUUUAUUCCAUUUUAUAGCUGAGUAUUCCAUUGUACAAAUAGUCAACAAUUUGUUUAUUCAUCCAUGUGUUUUUGAACAUUUGUUUUCUGGUUUUGGCCGUUAUAAAUCAGGUUACCAUGUCUGCUCCUGUAAAAGUCUUUUGGUGGACAUAUGUGUCUUAAUUGAUGUUGGGUAAUUGCGAAGGAGUGGGUAUCUGUGUUUUUUUAAACAUUUUUUGUAUAUUUAUAAAUCAGAGUAUGACAGUACUGGAAAAGAUCUUAGAGCCUUUUUUUUUUUUUUUUUUUUUUUUUUUUGAGACAGAGUCUCACUCUGUUACCCAAGCUGGAGUGCAGUGGCGCGACCUCGGGUCACUGCAAACUUUGCCUUCCAGGUUCAAGUGAUUCUCCUGCCUCAGCCUCCUGAGUAGCUGGGAUUACAGGUGUGUGCCACCAUGCCCGGCUAAUUUUUAUAUUUUUAGCAGAGAUGGGGUUUCACCAUGUUAAUCAGGCUCAUCUCAAACUCCUGACCUCGGGAGCCACCUGCCUCGGCCUCCAGGUCUUAGAGCUUUUUAACUCAAUUUCCUAUCUAUUAAGAGGCCCCUCAAAAUAGAAAUUUAAUUAGGAUGCCUGAGAAAAUGUCUUACCUGUUAAAACAGUGAUGAUUGAGUCAUCCUUGCUGGCAGCUUUAAGUGCACGCAUAAUUUCAUGAUACAUCUGUGUAAUGGGAAGACAAGGAAAAGAAAAGAACUCUGAACACAGGAAUCAUCAAUCAAUGGACUCAACAAAUGUCAGGCUGCAAGCUUGCUCUCAGCAAAGUGCCUAACAUUUAUUUUGGUUGUAUUUUAUAACCAAAAAGGUGGACCAACAUAACUGAAGGAAUUUUUAUUCCUUUCACAGUUACCUGGUGCAUAUUAUGUACCUGGUGCUAUGGCAGGAGCUGCAGGCUAUAAACCACUUUUUUUCCAAAAGGGACCAAGAAAGAAAUAGUCCUUGAGCUUUUGGAAUUAACAGAGGACUUAACAUGUUCAAUUUGGAAUUAACAUGUUCAAAUGAGGAGGGGGUUGGAAAGUACAAAGUAGCAGGGAACUCAGAGGAGGUGCUGAGGCUUAUCUAGUGUGGGCAGAGUGGGAGGUGGUCAGAGAAAACUUUCUACAAAGCAACGUCUCUGUUGUGACCUCAAGGAAGCCCCUGGCAGUCUGGGAAGUGUUAGUGACUGCCAAAAGGCUGGAAUUUUCAAGACACUGUAAUGGUAUUCAAGGAAGGUGGCUCAAAAUUUUAAAUCAGCAACAUUUCUGAAAAUCUUGGACAAGCAGCUAUAUAGCUUUUAAUGCAUUUAAAACAGGUGCAAUUUCAACCUUAGAUGAGAUUUCAGUGUGGGAAAGAAAUGAGGAAGAGGGCUGAUACUUAUAGAUACAAAUAUACUGGAAAAGACACAUGGACUUUACAUAAAACAGCCUGCCCUCCGUAUCCACGGGUUCCACAUCCAUGGACAACCAAUCACAGAUCAAAAAUACCUGGAAAAGAAUUCUGUAUCUAUACUGAACAUGUACAGGCUUUUUCUCUUAUCAUUAGUCCCUAAACAAUACAGUAUAACAACAAUUUAAUAUAGCAUUUACAUUGUAUUCAGUAUUAUAAUAACUCUAGAGAUGAUUUAAAGUAUAUGGGAGUGUAUAUAGAGGUUAUAUGCAAAUAUUAUGCCUUUUUAUGGGGGACUUCAGGUUCCGCGGAUUUUGUUGUCCACACGGAGGUCCUGGAACCAAUCCCCAUCGGAUACCAAGGGAUGACUGUACAUGAAUAAGCGUUUAAGCAUUUCUCCUGAGGGAAGUGAU
rnacentral:lncRNA from 1 species